rnacentral:rRNA from 1 species
UUUUAUGAGAGUUUGAUCCUGGCUCAGGACGAACGCUGGCGGCGUGCCUAAUACAUGCAAGUCGAACGCUUCUUUUUCCACCGGAGCUUGCUCCACCGGAAAAAGAGGAGUGGCGAACGGGUGAGUAACACGUGGGUAACCUGCCCAUCAGAAGGGGAUAACACUUGGAAACAGGUGCUAAUACCGUAUAACAAUCAAAACCGCAUGGUUUUGAUUUGAAAGGCGCUUUCGGGUGUCGCUGAUGGAUGGAC